UCGUGGUGGUUGUGGUGCUAGUAGCUGU
rnacentral:piRNA from 1 species